UACGGGGGGGGCAAGCGUUGUUCGGAAUUACUGGGCGUAAAGGGCUCGUAGGUGGUCAACUAAGUCGAACGUGAAAUCCCUGGGCUCAACCCAGGAACUGCGUCCGAUACUGGUUGGCUUGAAUCCGGGAGAGGGACGUGGAAUUCCAGGUGUAGCGGUGAAAUGCGUAGAUAUCUGGAGGAACACCGGUGGCGAAGGCGACGUCCUGGACCGGCAUUGACGCUGAGGCGCGAAAGCCAGGGGAGCAAACGGG
rnacentral:rRNA from 1 species